UGAUCUUGUUAAGCUUACUGUUAAGGGU
rnacentral:piRNA from 1 species